rnacentral:rRNA from 1 species
CCUACGGGUGGCAGCAGUGAGGAAUAUUGGUCAAUGGGCGGAAGCCUGAACCAGCCAAGUAGCGUGCGGGAUGAAGGCCCUACGGGUCGUAAACCGCUUUUGCACGGGGAUAACACCCUCCACUUGUGGAGGUCUGCAGGUACCGUGCGAAUAAGGGCCGGCUAAUUCCGUGCCAGCAGCCACGGUAAUACGGAGGAUCCGAGCGUUAUCCGGGUUUAUUGGGUUUAAAGGGAGCGGAGGUGGAUUGUUAAGUCAGUUGUGAAAGUUUGCGGCUCAACCGUAAAAUUGCAGUUGAAACUGGCAGUCUUGAGUACAGUAGAGGUGGGCGGAAUUCGUGGUGUAGCGGUGAAAUGCUUAGAUAUCACGAAGAACUCCGAUUGCGAAGGCAGCUUGCUGCAGCGGAACUGACGCUGAUGCUCGAAAGCGCGGGUAUCGAACAGGAUUAGAUACCCUAGUAGUC